rnacentral:rRNA from 1 species
ACCACCGUCGCCAGCUUACCCUGUGAAGGUGAAAGUAAGCAAAAUGGAGAACCUCCAGAACGUCAGGUCGAGGUGUAGCAUACGAGAUGGGAAGAAAUGGGCUACAUUGCCUAGCAUAGACUACUACGAAGAGUCGCCUGAAAGGGCUAUUUGAAGGUGGAUUUAGCAGUAAAAGGGGAAUAGAGUGCCCCUUUGAAGCCGGCUCUGAGGCGCGCACACACCGCCCGUCACUCUCCCCAACAAUCCUUCUUCUAGUAAUUAACCUUUUUUACCCAACAAGGGGAGGCAAGUCGUAACAUGGUAAGUGUACCGGAAGGUGCACUUGGAAUAAC